rnacentral:rRNA from 1 species
GACGAACCGUCCAAACGUUAUUCGGAAUCACUGGGCUUACAGAGUUCGUAGGCGGUCUGGAAAGUUGGGUGUGAAAUCCCUCGGCCUAACCGAGGAACUGCGCUUGAAACUACCAGACUCGAGGGGGAUAGAGGAAAGCGGAACUGAUGGUGGAGCGGUGAAAUGCGCAGAUAUCAGGAAGAACACCCGUGGCGAAAGCGGCUCUCUGGAACGGUACUGACGCUGAGACGCGAAAGCCAGGGGAGCAAACGGG